rnacentral:rRNA from 1 species
AUGACUACCGUUCCAGGGUAUCUAGUCUGGGAGCUCGUGAAGAAGCACAACUGCUUCUUGAUAAAACAGUUCGGCAACAGCAACGCCAAGGUGCGGUUCAGCAAGGAGCCCAACAACCUCUACAAUGUCCACUCCUACAAGUUCUCGAGCUUGGCGAACAGCAAGACCGUGGCGGUCCAGCCAUCAGCCGGAGAGGACAAGGUUGUUGUCCUGUCCACGACAAAGACCAAGAAGUAG